CCUACGGGUGGCAGCAGUGAGGGAUAUUGGUCAAUGGGGGAAACCCUGAACCAGCAACGCCGCGUGAGGGAAGACGGUUUUCGGAUUGUAAACCUCUGUCCUCUGUGAAGAUAAUGACGGUAGCAGAGGAGGAAGCUCCGGCUAACUACGUGCCAGCAGCCGCGGUAAUACGUAGGGAGCGAGCGUUGUCCGGAUUUACUGGGUGUAAAGGGUGCGUAGGCGGCCCUGCAAGUCAGAAGUGAAAUCCAUGGGCUUAACCCGUGAACUGCUUUUGAAACUGCAGGACUUGAGUGGAGUAGAGGUAGGCGGAAUUCCCGGUGUAGCGGUGAAAUGCUUAGAUAUCAGGAGGAACAUCGGUGGCGUAAGCGCUUUACUGGGCCGUAAUUGACGCUGAGGAACGAAAGCCAGGGUAGCAAAUGGGAUUAGAUACCCGAGUAGUC
rnacentral:rRNA from 1 species